rnacentral:rRNA from 1 species
GACGAACGCUGGCGGCGUGCUUAACACAUGCAAGUCGAACGGAAAGGCCCUGCUUUUGUGGGGUGCUCGAGUGGCGAACGGGUGAGUAACACGUGAGUAACCUGCCCUUGACUUUGGGAUAACUUCAGGAAACUGGGGCUAAUACCGGAUAGGAGCUCCUGCUGCAUGGGGGGGGUUGGAAAGUUUCGGCGGUUGGGGAUGGACUCGCGGCUUAUCAGCUUGUUUGUGGGGUAGUGGCUUACCAAGGCUUUGACGGGUAGCCGGCCUGAGAGGGUGACCGGCCACAUUGGGACUGCGAUACGGCCCAGACUCCUACGGGAGGCAGCAGUGGGGAAUAUUGCACAAUGGGCGGAAGCCUGAUGCAGCAACGCCGCGUGCGGGAUGACGGCCUUCGGGUUGUAAACCGCUUUCGCCUGUGACGAAGCGUGAGUGACGGUAAUGGGUAAAGAAGCACCGGCUAACUACGUG